rnacentral:tRNA from 1 species
GGUGUUGUGGUUCAGUGGUAAAGCACUUGCCUAGCAUGUGUGAGGCCCUGAGUUCAAUUCUCAGCACCACAU